CCAUUCAGAUCCAGGUCACACUGAGUGGAACCAGUCUGCUUUGUGUGGCUCAGUCCAGUACAGUUGAGUCCAUCUGCCACACAAAUUCGCAUCACACAGACACAAGAAGUAUACUGUACCAACACAGGUGGGUUUUCAUUCUCUAUGAAUAUCACUAGAUGAAGAGAAGCUGACCGUCUCGACAGGGAUGCUGCAACACAAGUAAAGUAUUUAGAAGCAUGAGUCGCCAUCUGUCUGUCUUGGUCGUGGAGUGAGGGAGACACCUUCACAUGACUCCGGAGCGAGAGCACUCACGGAAAAGGAAAUAUAAAUUUGGCAAUUUCCCAUUGUUAGUGAACGCAGCAAACAAGGUAAUUGAAAAACUACCUGCGUGGAGUGGGUUCUUAGUUAUGCUCGACGACCCAAACGAAGUAAGUCACUCAUCUUCCUGCUGCUCGAAUUCGAAGUUCU